UACGAAGGGGGCAAGCGUUGUUCGGAAUCAUUGGGCGUAAAGCGCGCGUAGGCGGUUGCUUAAGUCGGAUGUGAAAGCCCUCGGCUUAACUGAGGAAGUGCAUCCGAAACUGAGCAGCUAGAGUACGAAAGAGGGUCGCGGAAUUCCCGGUGUAGAGGUGAAAUUCGUAGAUAUCGGGAGGAACACCGGUGGCGAAGGCGGCGACCUGGGUCGAGACUGACGCUGAGGCGCGAAAGCGUGGGGAGCAAACAGG
rnacentral:rRNA from 1 species